UACGGAGGGAUCCAAGCGUUAUCCGGAUUUAUUGGGUUUAAAGGGUGCGUAGGCGGCUUUUUAAGUCAGGGGUGAAAGACGGUAGCGUAACUAUCGCAGUGCCCUUGAUACUGAAGAGCUUGAAUAUACUUGAGGUAGGCGGAAUGUGACAAGUAGCGGUGAAAUGCAUAGAUAUGUCACAGAACACCAAUUGCGAAGGCAGCUUACUAAGGUAUGAUUGACGCUGAGGCACGAAAGCGUGGGGAUCAAACAGG
rnacentral:rRNA from 1 species